CCCUAUUAAUCGGUUUAUCUUCGCCAACGCUUACCAACCGAUAGCCGAUUAAUCGGUUUAUUGUCGCCGAAGUUUACCGACCGAUAGCCUUGUUAAUUUGCCGCUGGAGGACGCCAUUGCCGCUAGCGCCAACUCUCUGUUAGUCCUGGGCCACAAGACCGCCAUCAGCCUCCGUUGCAUUGAAAAAAUUUAGUUCCUCUUUUCUUUUUUUCUUUUCUUCUCUUUUCUUUUCAUUUAUUUUAUUUUAUUUAUGUGUUGGAUCUAUUAUCUAAUUUUCGUGUAGGAAAUUCUCACAGACAACAUCUUAGCACACUGCCCUGCGGACCGGGGGACACAGGGCGACAGAAGGUAGUACCGAUAGUAAAUAACACAAACAAGGCAAGUUGAAUACUUAGAAUUCCACUUGGACAAAUAAUUUACAUGGAGGCUACAUACUAAAUUAAUUCUAGACAAAAUAUGGAUAAAAAGAAGACAGAUGUACUGGCUAACUAAUCGAAAUUCUAAACUCAGCAUGGAAAAUAAAUUAAAAAUCUACAAAACGGUAAGAAAACCAAUUUGGGCGUAUGAAAUAACACUAUGGGGGACAGUAGCAAUGAGACACGUAAAUAAACUAAAGUCGCUACAUCGAAGAUACUGGGAACAAUAGUCAACGCCCUCUGGUAUGUCAGAAACGAGGAUAUACGCAAAGACCUAAAAAUACCAACGGUCGAAGAAGAACUCGGCAGAUACGCAAAAUAUACAAGGAAAGAACGGAAACACAUCCAAACCAGCUGGCUGAUAAAGCCAGCAAAACUCGCAUAGGAAGAACAUUAAAAAGAAAACACCGCAGUGACCUCACUAAAGAAAUAAAAUAGUCAAACUCGAAAAUGGUACUGCGCUGGUAGUAGCCAUCCACAUGUUAUUUAGUUAUCAGUUCUAGAUGGUUGGAAAAGUCGCCCGGCGUCACUCAUCCAAUUUAACGUCGGAUUUCUUCAACCGCAGCGUCGGUCGACAACGAACGACGUACGCAGCUGCGUUUGAAGCGUUCUUAAACCAGAAUCAAAUGGACGACAUUUAUAUCGUCUGUCUGCCAAUCGCACAGUGGUACCAGUUGCGAUGUACACACCCGUCGCUUGUAUCAAUACGCAUACAACUUGUAAUAAACAUGUGAAAAUUCUGCUAACGGAUAUGUAGGCCUAUGUUGGUUAAUAAAAACACUUUUAAACUGUUUCAUAAAAGAAGAAUACAUACAUAUGUAUUUUCUUGUUCUUCCAAACCAUUGCCGUUGCGGUCAUUUGUUGCAAAUUAGAUCGUUUGCAUCGGACUCAAAUCUUGAAGUUAAUAUCUUUUGUUACAAAUUAUUAAUUAGAUCUAUUUAUAACAUAUGCUAAUCCCAUAUGUUAUAAAAUCUCUGCCGGUGCAGUAGAAAACUCAAGGGUAAGCAUCUUGAAAAUAAGUGCAUUAGAAGAGGAAUUAGAACGGCCUUCUCUUACUACAAGAAAUAUAAUAGCAGCAAAAAUAUAUCAUUAAGAGCUUCAUAGUAGAUUUAAUAAUAAUGAUUUAAUUAAGGGAAUUAUUUACCCCUUUAGCCCUUAUAUUUUGAGAGGGCUACGAACAAUGUACAUCUCCUUCAAGAGGCUAAUUAGAAUACUUCCUAUGAUAUACAUUGCCACAUCAUGAAUGAAAUACUUUUCAAUCAGCUGAAACCUCGGCGGGACAGCCAGCUAAGUUUGGAGAAACCCAGAACUGCAGAGGAGGCGUCGUGAGUUCGAAUCCUGAGUCAUUAGGAUAUUGUGUACAAAGGACCGGAGAGGUCCCAGUCUGUUUUAAUAGGUUAGUAAUACACUACACGCAAGCGGCCGCCCCUCCCUUGCGUGUAUUGUGUGGGCGUACUUUCUGGAAGUGCGCUGAAUAAGGUCCGAAGUGUUGUAAACACACACAGGGGUCCACGACAAUUAGGAAAUCCACAUUACUGUUCUGUCUCGCCCGUGGAGGUUUUAGCCGGUAAGAAUCCGGCACUACCUUCUGCCGCCCACACAAGGUGGUAAGGUGUCUAUGAAGAUUUCCUCCACGAAAAAAAAAAAAAA